GAGAGUAACCGUGGGCUGGGGACGGGGGUCUCCUCCUGGGCUCCGCCUCUCUCCAGCUCCGGCCUGGAGUCCACACCGAGGGGGAGCCCAGCUCAGAGGCCACACUCGGCCAGCCCCGAGGCACUGGCCCGUGUCAGAUCACUUGGGAGGGGCCCUGCGAGCUUUCGCUCGGUCUCCGAACAAGUCGCUGGCCACCGCCCCCGCGUGGCGCCGGCAGUUGUGCAGAGGCCUGGGCCCCGGUACCCCGGUGCCGGCAGCCCCGGGCCUGCCUCUCGCCCCUCUGGCCCCGGAUCCGCGCUGCGCCCCAACACCUGGAGUGCAUUAGGCGGCAGCACGCGUCUCGGCGAGAGCGGCUUGACUGAAAACACCUUCAGAGUAGACAAAUGGAGGCUUCACACUGAGGACCCUGCCCCUAGCCCCCAGGUGCCUAUGUGUCCCGGGCUCUGCAAGGCACUCAGCAGAAGCCCACAGAGGGGAGCCAGCGAUGGAGCUGAGAAGCAAGACCCAAGCUCAAGGGAUGCAUUUACUCAUAAUUUCCUGGCCAUGAACUUCCUGCACGUCCUUUCUUCUUUCAUCAUUAUUAAACAUGAUUUCGGCAGGUGGGAGACCAAAGCACAAUCUCAGUUGCGAGGCUGGAACAGCUCAGAGAAUUGGAUGAAGGACUUUAGGCAAGUUUGGAUUUUUUUCAAAAGAUGUAUUUUACUUAUUUGAAAGAGAGAGAGAGAGAGAGAGAGAGAGAGAGAGAGAGAGAAUCUCCCACCCGCUGGUUCACUUCCCAAAUGUCCAGGCCGUAACCAGGUGCCAGGAGCUCCAUCCAUGUCUCCCUUGUAGGUAGCAGGGAUCCAGCGACUGGAGCCAUCACCACGGCCCCUCAGGAGCCAGAGCCCGGCCUCGAACCCAGGCCCUCUGGUGUGGGAUGAGAGCAUCGCCAGUGCUCGGGCCAGCUGCUGGCUCCUGGAGGCUGGCAUUUGCACUGACUAAUAAUAGUAAUCCUUUACAGGGACGUGGUCUUUUUAUUCAUCUCUUUUAAAGUUUUUAUUGAGAUAUAAUUCACAUGCCAUAAAGUUCACCAUGUAAUUCAGCAAUUUUUAGUACAUUCACGAUGUUGUGUAACCGUCACCACUGAUUACACAACAUUUCCAUCAUCCCCGAAAGAAGCGCUCUAACCAUGGGCGGCCCCUCCCCAAUCCUUCAGCCACCAUUCGACUUUCCGUCUGUGUUCAUCUGCCCACCCCGGAACACUUCAUGGAGAUGGAAUCACCCCAUCUGUGGCCUUUGGGUCUGCGUAAGGUUUCCAGGGUUUAGCACACAGUCGCAGUGUCAGCAUCUCGCUCCUCUCUGUUACCAAGUACACGUCCCCACAUUGGCUGUGCCGUACGCUUGGCGCUCACCAGGGGCUGCCUGCCUGGAUGCUUCUACUUGGGCCAUCAUGAAUAAUGCUACUUUCAACACGUGCGUGCAAGUCUUCGUGUGAACUUCGGUUUUCAAUCCUCUUGGGUAGGUGCGAGGGAACUUCAAUAAAAAGUUUCAUUCCUUUUCACCUGAACUUGUUGAAGUCAACUUGGUGAUGUCAGGGCCAGCGUCAUGACCCAGUAGAUUGAGCUACCGCCUGUUCCUGCCCACGCUGGCGUCCCGUGAGUGCUAGUGCUAGUUGGACUGCUGGCUGCUCCACUUCUGAUCCAGCUCCCUCCCAAUGUGCCUGGAUAUGCAGCAGAAGAUGGCCCAAGUGCUUGGGUGGCCCCUGCCACCCACGGAGGAGACCCAGAUGGAGUUCCAGGCUCUGGGCUUCAGCCAGGCACAGCCCUGGCUAUUGUAGCCCUUUGGGGAGGGAGCCAGUGGUUGGAAAAUGUGUCUCUCUCUGUAACUCUGCCUUUCAAAUAAAUCAAUACAUCUUUAUAUAUAUAUAUAUACAUAUAUAUAUUAUAUUGACAUCUAUUCCUAUGAAAUAUUUUCCAAAAGUUUAUAGAAAAUUCAUAUGGGGAAAAAGCUGUCUAUGGCUUUAAAAUUGUUUUCUACCAAAAACAACCUUAUCCUUUAGUGUUCAAUUUUCCACAAACUUUCUGAAGAACCCUUGUCCGUACUGUCACGUGCCACAACCCGCUGUUUCCGUCCGUGAUGGUGAUCCCAGGGGGCCUAGGUGUGAGGUGAGUCUCGCCCUGUAGGUUCUCGGGGGCGCACUCCACAUUGCAACAACAAAACCGCCCAACCCAGCACUUCUCAGAACACGCCUCUGUCCUUAAGUGCCGCACGACCCGACCUGGCAUGGAGCUGCUGAGUCCUACGGUCAAGUUUCUGUUUAAUCACUAGAACGGUUUUCCAUUGCUGCACUCUUGUUUUGCGUCCCCCUGCAGUGUAUGACUGAUGUACGGGACGUUUUACGCUUUUGGAAAUUCUUUCACAUGUAUCAUCUCAUUGAACACUCACAACGGCCAAUAGCUCUGCAAGGAAUUUUUA